AAUCAACGCUGGCGGCGUGCCUAACACAUGCAAGUCGAACGAGAAAGGGUAGCAAUACCUGAGUAAAGUGGCGCACGGGUGAGUAACACGUGACUAACCUACCCUGGAGUGGGGGAUAACUGAGGGAAACCUUAGCUAAUACCGCAUAACACCUACGGGUCAAAGGAGCAAUUCGCUUUGGGAGGGGGUCGCGGCCGAUUAGUUAGUUGGCGGGGUAAUGGCCCACCAAGACGAUGAUCGGUAUCCGGCCUGAGAGGGCGCACGGACACACUGGAACUGAAACACGGUCCAGACUCCUACGGGAGGCAGCAGUGGGGAAUUUUGCGCAAUGGGGGAAACCCUGACGCAGCAACGCCGCGUGGAGGAUGAAGUACUUCGGUACGUAAACUCCUUUCGAUCGGGACGAUAAUGACGGUACCGAGAGAAGAAGCCCCGGCUAACUUCGUGCCAGCAGCCGCGGUAAUACGAGGGGGGCGAGCGUUGUUCGGAAUUAUUGGGCGUAAAGGGUGCGUAGGCGGUUUGGUAAGUCUUGUGUGAAAUCUAUGGGCUCAACUCAUAGUCUGCACGAGAAACUGCCG
rnacentral:rRNA from 1 species